rnacentral:rRNA from 1 species
GACGAACGCUGGCGGCGUGCCUAAUACAUGCAAGUCGAACGCAGUGGGGACGGGUGCUUAACACGUGGGUAACAUCCCAUCAGAGGGGAUAACACUUGGAAACAGGUUCUAAACUGAUACUGAUGGAUGGACCCGGGGUGCCUGGGCUAGUUGGUGAGGUAACGGCUCACCAAGGCCACGAUGCAUAGGCGACCUGAGGGGAUGAGCGGUAACUCGGGGACUAGGAGACGGAGCAAACUCCUACGGGAGGCAGGAGGAGGGAAUCUACGGGAAUGGGCAAAAGGCUGAACGGGCAACGGCGCGUGAGUGAAGAAGGUUUUCGGAUCGUAAAAGUCUGUUGUUAGAGAAGCGGUAUCUAACCAGAAAGCCACGGCUAACUACGUGCCAGCAGCCGCGGUAAUAC